ensembl:piRNA 21ur-2355 ncRNA
UCGUCGUUGAAGUUGUUCAAU